rnacentral:rRNA from 1 species
UACAGAGGGUGCAAGCGUUGUUCGGAAUUACUGGGCGUAAAGCGCGCGCAGGCGGUCUUCCAAGUCAGUGGUGAAAGCCCGGAGCUCAACUCCGGAACUGCCAUUGAAACUGUAAGACUUGAGGACGAGAGAGGUGAGUGGAAUUCCCAGUGUAGAGGUGAAAUUCGUAGAUAUUGGGAAGAACACCAGUGGCGAAGGCGGCUCACUGGCUCGUAUCUGACGCUCAGGCGCGACAGCGUGGGGAUCGAAACAGG